CCCCCGGCCCCACACCCAGGAAAGCUUGCCAUGGCAGAGGUGGGCAAGAGGUCUGACUGCCUAAGUCUAGUCUCGUUGGGCUCCACAUAAAUAUAGGCAGGGGCCCGGGAACUGAAAUUUAAGCCAGAGCUUUUCCCAAGAAUUCAGAGAUCCAGCUGUCAGGACCCUCCCUGCUUUACAGAGGUUCAACUAACAUUCCCACUACCACCACUGCUGCUGCCACUGCCAUGGUCAACAACAGCCUCCACCAGGGAUGGGGGGGAGGGGGAGGUCUGUUCUCCCUCUGCCCAGGCCCAGCAGAUAGAUGACCAACUUCAUUGGGGAUAGGAGCGAAGCGCAGACCCUAACCUUAGCAAGGAUACUAGAAAGGGCCUAAUAGGGAGAGGGGAUAGAGACCCUUGUUCCAAGGGGUCCAGCAGGGAAAGGGUUAAGAGGAGGGGCUCUCUAGAACCCGGGAAAGUGCCCCACCCAGGGGAGGGGCCAGUGGAUUAAAAAGCAAGCAGUUUGAGUGGAGAGGCAAGGACAGGGCCUCCCUACCUCUAAAGGCCUCCGCAGUCUGCAGUUCCAGCUCCAGAAAACGUGCCAAGAAGAGAGCUCAGGACCCCGGAGCGGAACACUGGAACACUGGAAGGGAGGGAGACUCCAGCUCAGACAACGGGGUGGGGGUGAAGGAACGGGUUUUCUCUUUCUUAUUCUAAAGAAAUAAAGAUGAGAACCAGUA